UAAAAAUUAUUCAUGUCAAGGUAAUUCUUACUUUAUACUUAUGGCUAUAGGUAGACAAAAAAUUAAUGAAAUGAAUUUUUAGUUAGAAAAUGAUAUGUAUCAUAAUUCAUAACUCAGUUUCAGCAUCAUUUUUGCCCCAUUACCAUGUACUAACUACAUACAUAGUAACUCCAAAGCAUUUACCUAUCCAAUUUUCAUACAAAAAGUCCAUCACCUACCUACUUACCUCACGGGGAUUCGAACCUGGGUCCCUAAAUUUCCUAUUCCUACCUACAUGCCCUAACCACUCAGCCACAACUUUGCUACGAGGGUUAAGGCAUUAAAAUAAUAUAUUUGUUUGGUAAACGCCCCACCAAACCACGCCCACUUGGAAUUUACAGCUAACAGACCGGGGGUGUAACAGGGUACAAUGAAACACAGCUGGUGAUGGAAUAGACUGGGGGUAUAGCAGGGUACAAUGAGCGGCAGGUGUUCUACAAGUCCCCUUUUCCCUUUUUUAGGAUUUAAUGCAUUAAAAUAAUGAACUAAAAUUGCAAUUACUCAGCAAUUACCCAUCCGAAUUGAAUGAAAAUUAAUCUAUUCCCUCCGCCUUAAUGAUUCUCAAAUGGUGUCCAAUAGGUACAAAAAACGGUUGGAUAGUUUGAGAGAACAUUCAUGUAUAAUGAAAUUUCAUUUCUCAAAGCGAAACCAAUAGUGUGCUACGCACACUAAAAAUAUGUACAAGUUUCGCACUUAUGAAAAAAGUUUCCCUCCCACGCAAUUUGUCAACGAAUGGACGAGAAAUGCCAUUUUUCGUGCUAUAAUUUUAAGAAUGAAACAAUAUACCUAUUGAAAAAAUGUCACUGCUGUUUUAAACAAAAGCAGAAACCUAAAAAAUGAAUAUUUUAUGUUAGCAUUUUUGAAAUAAGUAUUUCACCAAUAUAUAGAUGUACAUGUGAAAAAUCCCCCCUCCCUCUAAUUUGUCAGUGAAUUUUCGAGAAAUACCAUUUUUUGGCAAUGAUUUUGCAAGUGAUACACAUUGAAAAAAUUUUGCCACCGUUUUAAACAAAUGAAAAGAACACCAUUUUCAUAAAACUUUUUACUAGUGGUGAAACCGGGUCAAGUGGAACGAUUUUUACUUGACUGAGACUACCUGUUUCAACUUUGAGACCCCAUAAAUAUUUUGUUGUGUAGUCCCAUCAUUUGGCUGCAAAGUGACUCCUCAUUUUUCAAAUUUGGUCCAAAAACUUGGGCUCUAGAUUUUUUUUGGAACUAACUUCUUUUGUUCCACUUGACCCGAUGAUGUGUUCAAGCAUGGAACGAAGAAUUUCCUGUAACAAAAUAAUUGAAAAUUAACGUAUCAUUCUGAACUUUUAAUACUUCUGUUCUUCACCUCAACAAGAGCUCCUUGUAAUUUGAUACUUCUACAAGCUUUCUAUGGUGAAAAAUAAUGUAGACAGGAAGACCCGAAAUUAGCAUUCUUGGGACAAUUUUUCAAAUCACAAAUGUUCGUGUCAAGAGAAAAGUAUUGAACCGAUAUCAGUCCAAUUUUGAACAGUGAUGUAAAUUAGUGUAAUAUUUCAAAAUACGAGUAUAAUAAUUCCAUUUUUCAAAAAAAAAAAACCAUUUGUGACCUCCUUUUUCUUAAUUUGAAAAUUUCUUUACCCCCUUAAAACCUCUGUCGUUGUACCAUAGAAAAGGGUCAUUUGUAUCAUAAUUGCUAUUACUGUGCAAAAUCUCAAGCAAAUCGGUUCAUUUGAAGAGGCUGGCUGUAGCCUUGUCAACGGAAAUUUCAGCAUGAAAAUGCAUCGUCAAUUCGUUGACAAACUGCGAGGGACAGAAAUUUUUUCAAAUGUUCGUCUACAUCUACACAUUGGUGAAAUAUCUCAAAAAUGCAAAAAUUUUCAUUUUUUUAGGGUUCUGAUGGUAUUUUUGCAAUAAGUGCCAAACUUGUAUUUUUUUUUCUUGAAAAUGAAAAAAAUGCCAGUCCAAUCUUUUGAUAUAUUAUUCUACAUGAAAAGGACUAAAACUGAGAAUUUUUUCAGAAUUUUUACUCGCGGAAAUCGUGAUUAUAUUUAAAUUAUAAGUUUUUAAAUAGAUUUUUUCAGGUUUUUGAAAGUGGCAACACUGAUUUUGACAUCAUUCGUCGAUUACCCUCUCAAAGUAUACCUACUACAAUUUGAAAAAAAGUUCAAAAUCCUAUACCAUGUAGGUACACCCGGAGCAAUUUCCAACUGAAAUUUUCCAUUUUCGACCAAUUUGAAGAAUUUUGAAGGUCCAUAGCUCCCCCCCCCAAAAAAAUCGAAAAAAUGUCCAGUUUGCGUCAUUACUCAUUUGUCGUCGUUUGAUGACCUCUAAACAUUAUCUGAUUUUGAAAAAUAUCGAAGACUGGUCAUGCAAAAAUCCGCUGAUUUGGCAUGGAAUGACCCUAUGGCAAUUGAAAAUCAAUGAUUUUCAAAAUACCUAAUUGAAGAGUGAUAUUCCAAAACUCGCUUUGUCCAUUUUCACAACUUUUCAGGAGAGAGGAAAAACAGUUUUCCUUUAAACGGGUAAAUUGGCUUUUAAGGCGAGUUUAGCACUUUAUUUGGGUGGAUUUAUGAUGUAGGAGUAUAGGUAUACAUUUCAUCCACUAAAUACUGCUGACAAAAAUUUCAAUAAAAAUGGACAAAGCGCGUUUUGGAACAUUAUUUUUUUUUUAAUUUUUAGUGAAUUGGCUAUUUAGGUGAGUUUAACACCUCAUUUUGGUAGGUUGAUGAUGUAGGAAUGUGAGUUAAUACUUCAUCUACCAGGUACCAGUGAAAACCCAACUUUGAUAAAAAUCGGCAAAGCGAGUUUUGGAAUAUCACUCUUCAUAUGUAGAUUAUAAUAAUACAUAAGUAGAUAGGUAGAGGUAUACCUCUAAUACAACUUAUUCAAGAGAUACCUCUCGGUCUCGUGGGUGAGCAAACGAAACUGUCGUGUUUUUUGAAUCGUGUAGGUACUUCCUUCACUUUGUUUUGGAAAUCAUUAACAAAAAUAGUGUCAAAAUGCAUAAUGUAAGUAGGUCGGUAAAAGAAUUAAUUUUCUAGAUUACCUAACUGAAAGUUAGCGAAAGUUGGCGAAGAAUAUCCUCGAUAAAUUAUUUAAUGAAGCGAACAAGGUGUAGGUAUAAUUUAACAAAGUCGUCCUGCAGUCUCAUUAGUUUGCAAAGUAGGCAAUAUAUAGGUUUCCUAAUAAAUUAUUUCAAAAAUAUAUAAUAAUAUACUGUACCUAUUACCUAAUCACUCGAUAGUGCAUAAUUGAACACCGCCUAUUGUAUACACUUCAACAUGCAGACUCUUAGUAACCUACUUGUAAACAUUAUACAUAUUGUGCACAUUUUAUUGAGAUACUAGUUCGGAGUUAGUCGACAGUCGCUGCUUAGUUAGUCAGUUUUUAAAUAGAACAUUAAGUAGUACAUCUACAUACAUACAGUGAUUGAAAAUUUUCCCAUCAUGGAAGUGAUAAGAGAUGUUAGAAAAAUAGUUCUCCAAGCACUCGGAAAAGAGAAUAUGUUCGGGUUCGAGACGACCUUAGCUAAUCAGCUUUAUUUAAUUUACUGCAUUGCGGGUAAUAUAUAUUAUACUGAUAAAAUACACAAGAAAACGAAAUUAGUGUGGUUCUGUAGCGCUUACUCGCUAUUUAUACAAAUCGCAUUUUCUAUAAUAACAUACCUAAUCUAUGGUAGACAGACUGGAGAUCUUCUGCUACUCAUGUACACUGGAUUUUCAACCAUUGCGGCAGCACAAGAAUUACUCGUGAAACCUGCAAUCCUAUUCUCAUACAGAAAUGAAAUAGAACAAAUGAUUUUGAUGGUCGAUCGAAUAUUGAUGAAAAAAACAAGUAAAUUUGAAAACGAACUCGAUGUAAAACAAAUUAUGACGAAUGUUGCGUUGGGAUUUUGGUUACCGCUUAUACCAUACACAUUACUUACUGCGCUGGACAUGAUGUUAUUUUAUGAGGAAGAAAAAGUGUACAAUGAUAAGUAUUACUUGAUACCUUAUUCUGGACUUGAACACUACGCGUCUCACGGUUUUUAUUCAUUGGUUACCAGUUUUUCCACUUGCCACGCAAAUAUUUUUUUUAGUAUUUGCAUAGCCUCUCGAAUUUUGACAAUACCCUGGACUGUUGUUUGUCAUAAUGAGACUCAACGCAUCAUCAACGAAUUGAAUUCAUUGAGCAAAAAUGUUGAUAUAAAUAUCGACAAUUACAAAAGUAUGGAACCGAAGUUCAAGGAUGUAUUGAAACAAUGUAUACAAGAUAUAAACAAUCUUAAAAGAUUGAUUUCAAUUUUUCGAGGCUAUUUACAAGCCACAGCCGGGAUCAUACUCCCAGUUACAUUAUACUUUGCAGUUGUCCACGCUUUGAUUUUUGUGUCGCCGGGUAUUCCAUUCAUGCUGCGAGUGAGAGAACUCUCUAUCUUCAUCUCAGUAAUUCAAGAAGUAUACACCAUCUGUUGGGUGGGAGCUACACUUGAAGAAAUGACAUCAGAUUUAUCCUUUGCCGUAUAUUCUACACCAUGGUAUUGGUUCAAGAGCAUUCGUAAGGAUGUUUAUAUACUUCUAUGCGAGGCGCAAGCACCAAUUAAUCCAGUCGCUCUCAGUGUUUAUCCAUUGACACUGGCAACAUUUCUUCGAUUUUGCAACGUCGUCAAUUCAACACAGAAUGUUUUCCGAGUGUUCACGUCAAAGGCAUAGACCCUGGGUACUAAUAUAAUUCAAUCACAACUGAAUACAGGCAGAGAUUAUUUUUCAUAGGUUUAUACGUAAUUUUUUAUCACCAAAUUCACCUUUGCAUAUUUAGAUAAGUAGGUAUUUAUUAAUUAAGUAUUAUAGGUAGGUAUUCGUAAUUUUAUUAAAUUCAAUCACAAAAUAUUAUGCACACAUAUUUAAGAAAAUCAAUUUUGAGUUUCACCAACUCUCACAAGACCUAUUUUAAACAUUCGGGUCAAACAAAUACCUACUACCAUUAAAAUUAGCACUUUAACAAACAACUAUAUAAUAUAUAUUGCACAUUUUCAGCCUUUCUCUCGAGAUUUGCUUUAUAUUUUAGAGUCAAACAAACACUACAGUAAAAUAGGUUAGUAAGGUAAAUGGUUCAAUGGAACCUACACUCAAAAGGCAUAGACCCUGUAUAGUGGAGGUAUAAUUAAUCUAAUUUAAUCGCGGAUGAUAUGCACAUAACUUUACAAAUUUUCUUAGUAUUUUGACAUUACACAUUACCUAAGUUAAUCCGCCGGUAUAGCAAUAAUUCGUUGUUUGAUACGUAUAGGUACCUAAUUACAUAAUAAAUUUAAAGUUUGUUAUUU